rfam:Schistosoma haematobium scaffold941_35, whole genome shotgun sequence.
AUCCAGCUGACGAUUCUCAAGUAGGAAGAAACGCGUGUCUUGGAU